rnacentral:rRNA from 1 species
GCAAGUUCAUAAGAGCAAACGGUGAAUGCCUUGGCAUCUGGAGCCGAAGAAGGACGUCGUAAUCUGCGAUAAGCCUCGGGGAGCUGAUAAACGAGCUGUGAUCCGAGGAUUUCCGAAUGGGGAAACCCCGCCAGGCCCCUUGUGGUGACCUGGUGACUCCCGCCUGAAUAUAUAGGGCGGGUAGAGGGAACGUGGGGAAGUGAAACAUCUCAGUACCCACAGGAAGAGAAAACAACAGUGAUUCCGUCAGUAGUGGCGAGCGAACGCGGAAGAGGCUAAACCGAGUCAUGUGUGAUACCCGGCAGGGGUUGCAUGGCCGGGGUUGUGGGACUUUUCGUUCCGGUCUGCCGGCCGGUGAACGUUACAGCGCAUCAUAGACGAACAGGUUUGAACGCCUGGCCAGAGCGGGUGCGAGCCCCGUAGUCGAAAUGGUGUUAUGGCGUGAAGAGUAUCCCAAGUAGCACGGGGCCCGAGAAAUCCCGUGUGAAUCUGUCAGGACCACCUGAUAAGCCUAAAUACUCCCAGAUGACCGAUAGCGGACAAGUACCGUGAGGGAAAGGUGAAAAGUACCCCGGGAGGGGAGUGAAAUAGUACCUGAAACCGUUUGCUUACAAACCGUCGGAGCCUCCUUGUAGGGGUGACGGCGUGCCUUUUGAAGAAUGAGCCUGCGAGUUAGUGCUCUGUGGCGAGGUUAACCCGUGUGGGGCAGCCGUAGCGAAAGCGAGUCCGAAUAGGGCGAUUCAGUCGCAGGGUCUAGACCCGAAGCGAAGUGAUCUAUCCAUGGCCAGGUUGAAGCGACGGUAAGACGUCGUGGAGGACCGAACCCACUUCAGUUGAAAAUGGAGGGGAUGAGCUGUGGAUAGGGGUGAAAGGCCAAUCAAACUUCGUGAUAGCUGGUUCUCUCCGAAAUGCAUUUAGGUGCAGCGUUGCGUGUUUCUUGCCGGAGGUAGAGCUACUGGAUGGCCGAUGGGGCCCAAAAGCUUACUGACGUCAGCCAAACUCCGAAUGCCGGUAAGUGAGAGCGCAGCAGUGAGACUGUGGGGGAUAAGCUUCAUAGUCGAGAGGGAAACAACCCAGACCACCAACUAAGGUCCCUAAGCGCGUGCUAAGUGGGAAAGGAUGUGGAGUUGCACAGACAACCAGGAGGUUGGCUUAGAAGCAGCCACCCUUGAAAGAGUGCGUAAUAGCUCACUGGUCAAGUGAUUCCGCGCCGACAAUGUAACGGGGCUCAAGCACGCCACCGAAGUUGUGGCAUUGACAUUAGUGGUAGGCCUUCGUGGUCCAGCCGUGUUGAUGGGUAGGAGAGCGUCGUGUGGCGAGUGAAGCGGCGGUGUGAACCAGCCGUGGAUGCCACACGAGUGAGAAUGCAGGCAUGAGUAGCGAAAGACGGGUGAGAAACCCGUCCUCCGGAAGACCAAGGGUUCCAGGGUCAAGCUAAUCUUCCCUGGGUAAGUCGGGACCUAAGGCGAGGCCGACAGGCGUAGUCGAUGGACAACGGGUUGAUAUUCCCGUACCGGCGAAGAACCGCCCAAGACAAUCCAGUAGUGCUAAGUAUCUGAAUCCCUUUGAUGGAUCCCUUCGGGGUGAAGCGUUGGGCCUAGCGUACGACCCCGUGCUGGUGCGUUUAGCGUAUUAACAGGUGUGACGCAGGAAGGUAGCCGAGCCGGGCGAUGGUUGUCCCGGUCUAAGGAUGUAGGGCGAACGAUAGGCAAAUCCGUCGUUCAUAUAGCCUGAGAUCUGAUGGG